ACACAUGCAAGUCGAGCGGAUGAAGAGAGCUUGCUCUCUGAUUCAGCGGCGGACGGGUGAGUAAUGCCUAGGAAUCUGCCUAGUAGUGGGGGACAACGUUUCGAAAGGAACGCUAAUACCGCAUACGUCCUACGGGAGAAAGUGGGGGAUCUUCGGACCUCACGCUAUUAGAUGAGCCUAGGUCGGAUUAGCUAGUUGGUAGGGUAACGGCCUACCAAGGCGACGAUCCGUAACUGGUCUGAGAGGAUGAUCAGUCACACUGGAACUGAGACACGGUCCAGACUCCUACGGGAGGCAGCAGUGGGGAAUAUUGGACAAUGGGCGAAAGCCUGAUCCAGCCAUGCCGCGUGUGUGAAGAAGGCCCUCGGGUCGUAAAGCACUUUAAGUUGGGAGGAAGGGCUCAUAGCGAAUACCUGUGAGUUUUGACGUUACCAACAGAAUAAGCACCGGCUAACUUCGUGCCAGCAGCCGCGGUAAUACGAAGGGUGCAAGCGUUAAUCGGAAUUACUGGGCGUAAAGCGCGCGUAGGUGGCUUGAUAAGUUGGAUGUGAAAUCCCCGGGCUCAACCUGGGAACUGCAUCCAAAACUGUCUGGCUAGAGUGUGGUAGAGGGUAGUGGAAUUUCCAGUGUAGCGGUGAAAUGCGUAGAUAUUGGAAGGAACACCAGUGGCGAAGGCGACUACCUGGACUAACACUGACACU
rnacentral:rRNA from 1 species